CACAGGGUUGCAGCGCGGGUGAAAUGUGUCUGGCCUGAGGUGAUCGAUCAAAUCUGCCCGCUGGUGCAGCGGGUUUGUCUGGGAUGGGGAAGAGCGCGAGUGGCGUCAGGAUGAUAGUCGCAGGAGCUGUAACAGGAGGAUCAAAGCGAAGGAUGUGAUUCUGGAACUGUAGGAGUCUGUGAUUUGCUGUUUGGAGAUCGUUUGGGUGUCCCAGCACUCUGCAGUGUCCGAGAGGAUUCACGGUGGGCAGGCUGCAGUACGGGGAUUAAAGCUUCCAUUGUUCACUGAUUAGAGCGAUGAGGGAGAUUGAAGCAUCGAGGUGACUGCAGAAGGUGGGUCUCAUCACAGCUGCAAGAAUUAUAUUGCAAAACUGGAAAAAACCCAGAUGUCCCAGAGGAAAUGAUUAAUAUUUCAUCAUAUGAACACAUGUUGGGAAGAAUUAACAGUGAUGGAAAAGUGCAAGACGUGUGGGAUCAAUUUUGGUUGUAUGUUCAUUUAAACUUAAAUUAGAACUUCUUUCUGUUUCUACGUUUGUAAGUUUUACUUGUGUCCCUGUCAUGGGAUGGCUGUGUAAAUAUGCUGUACUCUAUCUGUGCUAUCACAUGCUGUGCUGCUUUGUAAAAUAAGAAUAAAUAAUAAUAAAAAUUUGAAUUACAAAAAAAAAAUGCCCGCAGGGGCAAAGUGAUAACGGUGUUUAAGGUUAGCUAUUCCUCACUCUUCGAGUGGGUUUUGCAGCCCCGGGAGGAGGAAGGGACCAGACCCCUUCACCAGUGGGCUCUGAUCACAGAGAUGUAUCAUGACAGCAGCAUCUUACCAGAGGGUCACAGGUUAACCUCGAACAUGGUGCGGUAUUUAGUUAGAGCAGCAGCUCCCCAUUUAAAGGGAGUAGUGCUCCCCUCAGUGGGACCAGCAAUAGUCUGUAAUGUGUUUGUUAAAUCUAUAUUGGAAGGGUGUUUGAAUUAAUCCAAGAGUAAGAUUUUGUUACUUGAU